AGCCAACCAAUUACAUUUAGCUUUCAAAUCCAUCUCAAUACAAAAUAUAACAAAUAAAAGUCCAAUAUCAUGAUCCAUUAAAUAACCAAAUAAACACCAGUCCAGAGCAUCUAAAUUCAAACAUAAAUAUCAAACUUAUAAUCUGCAAUAUUUAGAAAAUUACCAAGCUACAAAUUCAUAACCAACUAAGGAACUAAAAUUCAGCUACAAAGUCGCCUAGCUUGCUAGCAUGAACUCUAAACCUAGACCAUCCUUUGUCCUUACUGACUUUACUCAUCUGAAAAGAAAAAAAAUAAAAAAGAGAUAUGAGCUAUGCAACUCAAUAAGUAAAACUUACAUUACCUUACUGGAUUAAGCAUAAGUUUUUUCAUGUCAAUGCAUCAUUUAAAAAAAAUAACAAUUAUUGCAAAAAUAAAGUAUUUCAUAGUACAAUAUAUUAAAACAAGUCAUAAAGCCAAUUAUGCAUGAACAAAUAGUCCAUUUUUCAUAAAUAUGGUUUCAAG
rnacentral:lncRNA from 1 species